rnacentral:rRNA from 1 species
CGGCGGACGGGUGAGUAACACGUGGAUAACCUACCUAUAAGACUGGGAUAACUUCGGGAAACCGGAGCUAAUACCGGAUAACAUGUUGAACCGCAUGGUUCAACAGUGAAAGACGGUCUUGCUGUCACUUAUAGAUGGGUCCGCGCCGCAUUAGCUAGUUGGUAAGGUAACGGCUUACCAAGGCAACGAUGCGUAGCCGACCUGAGAGGGUGAUCGGCCACACUGGAACUGAGACACGGUCCAG